rnacentral:lncRNA from 1 species
AGCGAAUUAGGGACUGGUUAUUUUCAGCCUCUGGGAUCGGCUUCCCCACGGUUUCUUCUAUUGUCGAGUUAUUUUCUUUCAUUAUUUGCUCCAAGAAUGCGAAGUCUCAAUUUUAUAAUCUUCGUUGGCCUUGUGUUUUUUUUUUUUUUGGUUGCCAAUACUGGUGAAAUUUGGAGGAAUCGAAACUUUGUACGUUUUGAUAACGGGCAAACUCCUGCAGCCCUUAGAGUUAUCUCGAUCGGAUUGGCGCUCUGGCAGUGGUAUUUACUUGUCCAUUAGGGGUCCAACUUCAUUUUUUGAUGAACUAAUGUCCGUUAUUUAUAUUAUUGAGAUUGAUUCUGGACGUGGUUGGAUUACUUUAGAUUGAAUAUGACUCUCUGCUAGCCUUCCUUCAUCUUCGUAACAGCUGCUUGCCUCCUCCUUGGCCGCUGUCUGAUCAUUGGAAAAAUUUUCUCUCCUCUUUUGAAUCAUAUAUAUGGAAGAUUGUUUUACACAUAUCUUUAGAGAGGCUAAUAUUGUUGCUGGUAAGCUCGCUAAUCUUGACACUACUGUGACUGGUUUUUCUUGGUGGCCUGAUCCGCCGCCUGAGUUAUUGCUUUAUUUGAUAGAGAUGCUCUAGGUGUCCUUAGUUAUUGUUUUAUGUAGUUUUUUGUUCUACUGUAUUUUUGCAUGCAUGUUUAUAUUCUUAGACAACUUUGAAUUUGUUUAGGUUGUUCGCUGGUUGGCUUUUAUGAGUUUGUGUUCUUAGUUUGAUUUCGGUUAAGGUUCAUUACGUCCUCUAUUUAGCUGUAUUAAUUUCUUUUUUUAAUUUUCAAUAAAUUUUUCUCUUACACCUGAGGUUCUUGCGGAAAACAAAGAAAAUUCUAUAAUUUUUUUUAAUAUUUGUUUAAUUUGAUACCCAUACAAAAUCUACUCUAUUUCUCUCCCUUUUUUUUCGGUAAAUAAAAAUUUAGACUUUUAAUGUUACAACAUUACUAAGGUCCGAGUGGCUCAUUGAUGGUGGUUAGCAGAGAAAAGGAUUUGUUCUGAACAAAGCACCAUUAUGUAUUUUACUUUACUCUUUA